rnacentral:rRNA from 1 species
AUUGAACGCUGGCGGCAUGCCUUACACAUGCAAGUCGAACGGCAGCACGGAGCUUGCUCUGGUGGCGAGUGGCGAACGGGUGAGUAAUAUAUCGGAUCGUACCCAAGAGUGGGGGAUAACGUAGCGAAAGUUACGCUAAUACCGCAUACGAUCUAAGGAUGAAAGCAGGGGAUCGCAAGACCUUGUGCUCCUGGAGCGGCCGAUAUCUGAUUAGCUAGUUGGUGAGGUAAAGGCUCACCAAGGCAUCGAUCAGUAGCUGGUCUGAGAGGGCGACCGGCCACACUGGAACUGAGACACGGUCCAGACUCCUACGGGAGGCAGCAGUGGGGAAUUUUGGACAAUGGGGGCGACCCUGAUCCAGCAAUGCCGCGUGAGUGAAGAAGGCCUUCGGGUUGUAAAGCUCUUUUGUCAGGGAAGAAACGGUCGUGGCUAAUAUCCAUGGCUAAUGACGGUACCUGAAGAAUAAGCACCGGCUAACUACGUGCCAGCAGCCGCCGUAA